rnacentral:antisense_RNA from 1 species
GUAGGAGCCGGCUUGCUGGCGAUGGCGAUCUGGCAUUCAGCAUUGAUGUCGACUGAUUGACCGCAAUCGCCAGCAAGCCGGCUCCUAC